GACAAACGCUGGCGGCGUGCCUAAGACAUGCAAGUCGGACGGGGGGCUUCGGCCCCUAGUGGCGGACGGGUGAGGAGCGCGUGACUGACCUGCCCACGGGUGGGGGAUACCCGGCAGAAAUGCCGGCUAAGACCGCAUGAGACCCGUCGCUGCGAGGCGGUGGGGGAAAGCCUUCGGGCGCCGGUGGAGGGGGUCGCGACGGAUUAGCUAGUUGGCGGGGUAAGGGCCCACCAAGGCCGCGAUCCGUAGCUGGUCUGAGAGGACGGCCAGCCACACU
rnacentral:rRNA from 1 species